AUUGAACGCUGGCGGCAUGCCUUACACAUGCAAGUCGAACGGCAGCACGGGAGCAAUCCUGGUGGCGAGUGGCGAACGGGUGAGUAAUAUAUCGGAACGUGCCCAGUCGUGGGGAUAACGUAGCGAAAGCUACGCUAAUACCGCAUACGAUCUAUGGAUGAAAGCGGGGGAUCGCAAGACCUCGCGCGAUUGGAGCGGCCGAUAUCAGAUUAGGUAGUUGGUGAGGUAAAGGCUCACCAAGCCGGCGAUCUGUAGCUGGUCUGAGAGGACGACCAGCCACACUGGGACUGAGACACGGCCCAGACUCCUACGGAGGCAGCAGUGGGGAAUUUUGGGACAAUGGGCGCAAGCCUGAUCCAGCAAUGCCGCGUGCAGGAUGAAGGCC
rnacentral:rRNA from 1 species